rnacentral:rRNA from 1 species
ACGCAAUAGAUACCCUGGUAGUCCUGGCCGUAAACGAUGACCACCCAGGUGUGGGAGGUAUCGACCCCGUUCCGUGCCAAAAGGUAAACCUGUUCAGUGGUCCGCCUGGGGAGUACGGUCGCAAGAUUAAAACUCAAAGGAAUUGACGGGGACCCGCACAAGCAGCGGAGCGUGUGGUUUAAUUCGAUGCGACGCGCAGAACCUUACCAGGGCUUGACAUGUGCUUGCACCACCGGGAGACCGGUGUCCCUUCGGGGCGGGCACACAGGUGCUGCAUGGCUGUCGUCAGCUCGUGCCGUGAGGUGUUGGGUUAAGUCCCGCAACGAGCGCAACCCUCGUGCUCGGUUGAGUUUUCCGAGCAGACUGCCACGCUAAACGUGGAGGAAGGUGGGGAUGACGUCAAGUCAGCACGGCCCUUACGUCCUGGGCUACACACACGCUACAAUGGCCGCGACAACGAGUCGCCAACCCGCGAGGGGAGCUAAUCUUGGCAAACGCGGUCGCAGUUCGGAUGGCAGGCUGCAACCCGCCUGCCUGAAGCCGGA